rnacentral:rRNA from 1 species
UACAGAGGAGCCAAGCGUUGUCCGGAUUGACUGGGCGUAAAGCGCACGCAGGCGGAUGCGCGCGUGGGGUGUGAAAUCUGGCCGCUUAACGGCCAGGCGCCAUCCCAUACGGCGUGUCUGGAGGGCUGCAGAGGUCGAUGGAAUUGCCGGUGUAGUGGUGAAAUGCGUAGAGAUCGGCAGGAACACCCAGGGGGAAACCAGUCGACAGGGCAGCACCUGACGCUGAGGUGCGAGAGCGUGGGGAGCGAACCGG